rnacentral:rRNA from 1 species
UACGGAGGAUGCAAGCGUUAUCCGGAAUUAUUGGGCGUAAAGCGUCCGCAGGUGGCACUUCAAGUCUGUCGUCAAAGACUGGGGCUUAACCCUGGAAAGGCCGUGGAAACUGAAGAGCUAGAGUGCAGUAGGGGUAGAGGGAAUUCCCGGUGUAGCGGUGAAAUGCGUAGAGCUCGGGAAGAACAUCGGUGGCGAAAGCGCUCUGCUGGACUGCAACUGACACUCAGGGACGAAAGCUAGGGGAGCAAACGGG